UACGGGGGGGGGCAAGCGUUGUUCGGAAUUACUGGGCGUAAAGGCUCGUAGGUGGCCAACUAAGUCAGACGUGAAAUCCCUCGGCUUAACCGGGGGAACUGCGUCUGAUACUGGAUGGCUUGAGUUUGGGAGAGGGACGCGGAAUUCCAGGUGUAGCGGUGAAAUGCGUAGAUAUCUGGAGGAACACCGGUGGCGAAGGCGGCGUCCUGGACCAACACUGACACUGAUGAGCGAAAGCCAGGGGAGCAAACGGG
rnacentral:rRNA from 1 species